CGCUGGCGGCGCGUUUAAGCAUGCAAGUCGAGCGGCAAGGGCCUUCGGGCCCCUAGAGCGGCGGACGGGUGAGUAACACGUGGACAAUCUGCCCCCCGGCCCGGGAUAGCCCAGGGAAACCUGGAUUAAUACCGGAUGAGACGGGACCCGCGAUGGCGGGAUCCGGGAAAGGCGCUGCGGCGCCGCCGGGGGAUGAGUCUGCGUCCCAUUAGCUAGACGGCGGGGUAACGGCCCACCGUGGCGACGAUGGGUAGCCGGCCUGAGAGGGUGGACGGCCACAUUGGAACUGAGACACGGUCCAGACUCCUACGGGAGGCAGCAGCUAAGAAUCUUCCGCAAUGGGCGAAAGCCUGACGGAGCGACGCCCGCGUGAACGAAGAAGGCCGUGAGGUUGUAAAGUUCUUUUCGGGAGGGGGAACAACCGUGGCAGGGAAUGGCCGCGGGAUGACGUGAAUCCCGGAAUAAGCCCCGGCUAACUACGUGCCAGCCGCUGC
rnacentral:rRNA from 1 species